GGCGCGGAAGACGCGUGAUGUAAAAAAAUUGUGGGGGAAAAUUUUUCUUUUCUUUGCUUUUCCUUUCCAUUUGCAAGUUUGUUUCUUGUUGUGGUGGUGGAUAAGAGUGGGGUCUGUUAGUAGGAUGGACGGGGUCUUCGUUGUGUUUGGUUGGGGCUACUAAUGGUUUAAUAAUAGUUGCUGGAGCUACCGUUAGGCCACCGAAUUUUGGAAAAUAUUUUAGCCGCAUGGAUUGUUAGAUUUAGGUUUCAGAUUCGAGUUGUUUGAUAGCGGAAGCCGUUUUCCUUCUGUGGAACUCAUUAGAAAGGUUGAGCAAGUGGAUGACACUUCGCUGCGAAAGCUUAGAAUACGAAGUGUUGGAAAGGGACUUGCUUGAAUAUUGGCGGAAGAUUAUGGAUGGGAUUCUUUGGUUAAAGACCGGUCAUCUGGGUGGACGGUCGCUUUGUAGAGAGUGACAUCCAUUUCGAAUGGGAUGGCGUAGACGGGCGAUCUGUUGAUAUAAUGGUGGGUCUUAAUAUUAAUUGGAGAACAAAGUAGAGCUGGUAAAUCAAAUUUGGGAGAGAAUAUUGCGGAAGAGUUUGAUCUAGAAAGUUUAAGGCGGAAGACAAAAUUCGGAUCAUCCGGUUUGGGUCCGUAAGCUGAGGGAGAUUUUUGGAUAUCUAGAGUAACAUUAAUUGACAAUGAUGGAUGGACCGAAGCUAGGCAAUGAGGUGUGAUUUUGGUUGGAUCUUUAAUUAGUAGACUAAUGGG
rnacentral:lncRNA from 1 species